rnacentral:piRNA from 1 species
UCUACAUUUUAGUAUGGACAGAGAUACCC